rfam:Aedes albopictus isolate Foshan contig65789, whole genome shotgun sequence.
UAGCCUAGCGGUUAAGGCUAUGGAUCGCCAAUCCGGAGACGGCGGGUUCGAUUCCCGC